CAGGCCUAACACAUGCAAGUCGAGCGAUCCUAGCAAUACGGGAGCGGCAGACGGGUGAGUAACGCGUGGGAACGUACCCUUCGGUUCGGAAUAACUCAGGGAAACUUGAGCUAAUACCGGAUACGUCCGAGAGGAGAAAGAUUCAUCGCCGAAGGAUCGGCCCGCGUCUGAUUAGCUAGUUGGUGAGGUAACGGCUCACCAAGGCGACGAUCAGUAGCUGGUCUGAGAGGAUGAUCAGCCACAUUGGGACUGAGACACGGCCCAAACUCCUACGGGAGGCAGCAGUGGGGAAUAUUGGACAAUGGGCGCAAGCCUGAUCCAGCCAUGCCGCGUGAGUGAUGAAGGCCUUAGGGUUGUAAAGCUCUUUUACCUGGGAAGAUAAUGACGGUACCAGGAGAAUAAGCCCCGGCUAACUUCGUGCCAGCAGCCGCGGUAAU
rnacentral:rRNA from 1 species